rnacentral:rRNA from 1 species
CGCCAGACUCCUACGGGAGGCAGCAGUGGGGAAUAUUGCACAAUGGGGGAAACCCUGAUGCAGCAACGCCGCGUGAGUGAAGAAGUAUUUCGGUAUGUAAAGCUCUAUCAGCAGGGAAGAGAAUGACGGUACCUGACUAAGAAGCCCCGGCUAACUACGUGCCAGCAGCCGCGGUAAUACGUAGGGGGCGAGCGUUAUCCGGAUUUACUGGGUGUAAAGGGAGCGUAGACGGUUCUGCAAGUCUGAAGUGAAAGCCCGUGGCUUAACCGCGGAACGGCUUUGGAAACUGUGGAACCGGAGUGCUGGAGAGGCAAGCGGAAUUCCUAGUGUAGCGGUGAAAUGCGUAGAUAUUAGGAGGAACACCAGUGGCGAAGGCGGCUUGCUGAACAGUAACUGACGUUGAGGCUCGAAAGCGUGGGGAGCAAACAGGAUUAGAUACCCUAGUA